GACGAACGCUGGCGGCGUGCCUAAUACAUGCAAGUAGAACGCUGAAGGAGGAGCUUACUUCUCUGGAUGAGUUGCGAACGGGUGAGUAACGCGUAGGUAACCUGCCUGGUAGCGGGGGAUAACUAUUGGAAACGAUAGCUAAUACCGCAUAAGAGUAGAUGUUGCAUGACAUUUACCUAAAAGGCGCAAUUGCACCACUACCAGAUGGACCUGCGUUGUAUUAGCUAGUUGGUGGGGUAACGGCUUACCAAGGCGACGAUACAUAGCCGACCUGAGAGGGUGAUCGGCCACACUGGGACUGAGACACGGCCCAGACUCCUACGGGAGGCAGCAGUAGGGAAUCUUCGGCAAUGGACGGAAGUCUGACCGAGCAACGCCGCGUGAGUGAAGAAGGUUUUCGGAUCGUAAAGCUCUGUUGUAAGAGAAGAACGAGUGUGUGAGUGGAAAGUUCACACUGUGACGGUAUCUUACCAGAAAGGGACGGCUAACUACGUGCCAGCCGCCGCCGUAA
rnacentral:rRNA from 1 species